rnacentral:rRNA from 1 species
UAAAGUGGCGAACGGCUGAGUAACACGUGGGCAACCUGCCCUUUGCACUGGGAUAGCCUCGGGAAACCGAGGUUAAUACCGGAUACUCCAUAUUUGUCGCAUGGCGAAUAUGGGAAAGCUCCGGCGGCAAAGGAUGGGCCCGCGGCCUGUUAGCUAGUUGGUGGGGUAGUGGCCUACCAAGGCAAUGAUGGGUAGCCGGGUUGAGAGACCGACCGGCCAGAUUGGGACUGAGACACGGCCCAGACUCCUACGGGAGACAGCAGUG